rnacentral:rRNA from 1 species
CGGACGGGUGAGUAAUGCCUAGGAAUCUGCCUGGUAGUGGGGGACAACGCUUCGAAAGGAACGCUAAUACCGCAUACGUCCUACGGGAGAAAGCAGGGACCUUCGGGCCUUGCGCUAUCAGAUGAGCCUAGGUCGGAUUAGCUAGUUGGUGAGGUAAUGGCUCACCAAGGCGACGAUCCGUAACUGGUCUGAGAGGAUGAUCAGUCACACUGGAACUGAGACACGGUCCAGACUCCUACGGGAGGCAGCAGCG